rnacentral:rRNA from 1 species
AAUUUGGGACAAUGGGGGCAACCCUGAUCCAGCCAUCCCGCGUGUUCGAUGAAGGCCUUCGGGUUGUAAAGCACUUCUGGCAGGGAAGUAACGGCGCUGGUCAAUACCUGGCGCACCAGACGGUACCUGCAGAAUAAGCACCGGCUAACUACGUGCCAGCAGCCGCGGUAAUACGUAGGGUGCAAGCGUUAAUCGGACUUACUGGGCGGAAAGCGUGCGCAGGCGGUUCGGAAAGAAAGGUGUGAAAUCCCAGGGCUGAACCUUGGAACUGCACUUUUAACUACCGGGCUAGAGUAUGUCAGAGGGGGGUAGAAUUCCACGUGUAGCAGUGAAGUGCGUAGAGAUGUGGAGGAAUACCGAUGGCGAAGGCAGCCCCCUGGGAUAAUACUGACGCUCAUGCACGAAAGCGUGGGUAGCAAACAGG